GAUGAACGCUGGCGGCGUGCCUAAUACAUGCAAGUCGAGCGAACAGAUAAGGAGCUUGCUCCUUUGACGUUAGCGGAGGACGGGUGAGUAACACGUGGGUAACCUACCUAUAAGACUGGGAUAACUUCGGGAAACCGGAGCUAAUACCGGAUAACAUUUUGAACCGCAUGGUUCUAAGGUGAAAGAUGGUUUUGCUAUAACUUAUAGAUGGACCUGCGCCGUAUUAGCUAGUAGUUAAGGUAACGGCUUACCAGGGCAACGAUCCGUAGCCGACCGGAGAGGGUGGUAGGCGACAUGGGAGCGUAGCCACGGACCUGGCGCCUGCGGUAGGCAGCAGAAUGGAAUCUGCGGCAAUGGGCGGGAACCUGGCGCAGCGGCGCCACGUGAGAUAUGGAGGGUUUCGGCUCGUAAUACUGUGUUACUAGGUGAAAACAGACGUGGAAGGUGCUGUGCACUUCUUGACGGUACCGAGUCAGGAAGCCCCGGCUAACUACGUG
rnacentral:rRNA from 1 species